rnacentral:hammerhead_ribozyme from 1 species
AUCCAGCUGAUGAGUCCCAAUUAGGACGAAACGUGCGUCCUGGAU